rnacentral:tRNA from 1 species
ACCUGGGUGGCUCAUUCUGUUGAGCGUCUGACUUCAGCUCAGGUCAUGAUCUCACGGUCUGUAAGUUCAAGCCCCACCUCAGGCU